AGUGAACGCUGGCGGUAGGCCUAACACAUGCAAGUCGAACGGCAGCACAGUAAGAGCUUGCUCUUACGGGUGGCGAGUGGCGGACGGGUGAGGAAUACAUCGGAAUCUACUUUUUCGUGGGGGAUAACGUAGGGAAACUUACGCUAAUACCGCAUACGACCUACGGGUGAAAGCAGGGGAUCUUCGGACCUUGCGCGAUUGAAUGAGCCGAUGUCGGAUUAGCUAGUUGGCGGGGUAAAGGCCCACCAAGGCGACGAUCCGUAGCUGGUCUGAGAGGAUGAUCAGCCACACUGGAACUGAGAAACGGUCCAGACUCCGACGGGAGGCAGCAGUGGGGAAUAUUGGACAAAGGGCGCAAGCCUGAUCCAGCCAUACCGCGUGGGUGAAGAAGGCCUUCGGGUUGUAAAGCCCUUUUGUUGGGAAAGAAAAGCAGCAGGUUAAUACCCCGCUGUUCUGACGGUACCCAAAGAAUAAGCACCGGCUAACUUCGUG
rnacentral:rRNA from 1 species